UAGGGAAUCUUCGGCAAUGGGGGGAACCCUGACCGAGCAACGCCGCGUGAGUGAAGAAGGUUUUCGGAUCGUAAAGCUCUGUUGUUAAGGAAGAACGAGUGUGAGAAUGGAAAGUUCAUGCUGUGACGGUACUUAACCAGAAAGGGACGGCUAACUACGUGCCAGCAGCCGCGGUAAUACGUAGGUCCCGAGCGUUGUCCGGAAUUACUGGGCGUAAAGAGUUCGUAGGCGGUUUGUCGCGUCGUUUGUGAAAACCAGCAGCUCAACUGCUGGCUUGCAGGCGAUACGGGCAGACUUGAGUACUGCAGGGGAGACUGGAAUUCCUGGUGUAGCGGUGAAAUGCGCAGAUAUCAGGAGGAACACCGGUGGCGAAGGCGGGUCUCUGGGCAGUAACUGACGCUGAGGAACGAAAGCGUGGGUAGCGAACAGG
rnacentral:rRNA from 1 species